rnacentral:tRNA from 3 species
GCUUCCUUAGCGCAGUCGGCAGCGCGUCAGUCUCAUAAUCUGAAGGUCGCCAGUUCGAUCCUGGCAGGGAGCA